GUCUGCAGCCGUGCCACCCUGAACGAGCCCGAUGUCUGAUCUUAGAAGCUCACAGGGUCGGGUCUGGUUAGUACUUGGAUGGGAGACCACCUAGGAAGACUAGGUGCUGUAGGCA
rnacentral:rRNA from 1 species